UUAUUUGCAUCGCAGCACAAGCUUCAGGAGGUUUUAAAGCUCUGUGAGUUUGAACAAUGAGAAUCUGAACCAACAGCAACCAUGAGCUUCAUCACCAUCUUCAUCUGGAUGUUCACUAGCUACUGUUUCACAGAAUCAGCUGGUGAAGUGACAGCCACUCAGACGCCUGCAGUGAAAUCUGUUCGUCCAGGAGACACAUUUACCAUGUCCUGUAAAAGCAGUCCUGACGUCUAUCAGAGUUGGGAUCAUCAACCUCUAUCCUGGUUCAGUGAUAAAGAGUCAAAAACCUCCGUCAGUCAGAGUCACAGUGAAGAUAUAGUUUUAUAAGUGUAUUGAGCCAUGGCUAAAUGAACUAUCUUCUAAACGCUUUGACUAAUUAAAAUCCUUUUGAUAA